CCUACGGGGCGCAGCAGUGAGGAAUAUUGGUCAAUGGCCGGAAGGCUGAACCAGCCAUGCCGCGUGAAGGUCAGUGCCCUAUGGGCGUUAAACUUCUUUUGUGCGGGAGCAAUAAUGGUCACGUGUGGCCAGACGAGAGUACCGUACGAAUAAGCAUCGGCUAACUCCGUGCCAGCAGCCGCGGUAAUACGGGGGAUGCAAGCGUUAUCCGGAUUUAUUGGGGUUAAAGGGGGCGUAGGCUGUGAGGUAAGUCAGCGGUGAAAUGCCCCCGCUCAACGGGGUGAAGUGCCAUUGAUACUGCCUUGCUGGAAUGCGGAUGCCGUGGGAGGAAUGUGUGGUGUAGCGGUGAAAUGCAUAGAUAUCACACAGAACACCGAUUGCGAAGGCAUCUCACGAAUCCGCGAUUGACGCUGAUGCACGAAAGCGUGGGUAUCAAACAGGAUUAGAUACCCUUGUAGUC
rnacentral:rRNA from 1 species